CGUUGACCGGAAUCCCGAGCUCUCCUUCCAGCCGGGCGACUCGGCGGGUUUUGAGCCCAAACCAAAAGCCGGAGAUGGAAAACAAUCCGGAGCUCCGGGGACCGCAGCGCCCUGCCAGGCGGAAAAACACCUUGGCUUCCUGAGGGAAACUUAGCUAGGAAGAACCCAUGAGCAAACAGGUGCAAGCAAAUUCCGGGAAGACUUGAUUUCAGCCCAGAAUGCGAGCGGUGGGGCCCGGAGGGGACGGACGAUCAAAACCAAAAACUGUAGCUGGAUUUGGAUGUUCAAAAUCAAAGUUUUGGAGUAGUUAGGGGUAGAUGAGAAAUCUAGUGGAGUCUCUUCAGAUAACUGAGCUAGUGAGGCCGAUGAUAAAAAAGACCGAAAAGGCCAAGACGACGUGGGUAAGGGAAAAAGUCCCCUCAUUUAUCUGGAUUUGGUUAAUUUCUACGAAGAGUCAAGAAUUUCUUAAAAAAAAAAAAAAAAAAAAGAAUUUCGAAGCCGGGCGGUGGUGGCACACGCCUUUAAUCCCAGCACUCGGGAGGCAGAGGCAGGCGGAUCUCUGUAAGUUCAAGGCCAGCCUGGUCUACAAGAGCUAGUUCCAGGACAGGAACCAAAAGUUACGGAGAAACCCUGUCUCGAAAAAUCAAAAAAAAAUUUUCGACAGGAGCCCUUGGUGCACCUCCAGAGGACAUGAAUUCGAUCUCAGCACCCACAUGCCAACUGUCUACUGCUCCGGUUGCCUUCUUCUGGCCCCCACUGGCACCUGCAGCCUCCGACUCUAAAGUGGAAAGAGGGGUUGCCUGUUUGGGAGACCAAGGCACGGCGAAGAAGCCAAGCUUUGGAGGAUGAGCUGCUGCUGCUGCUGUGAGAUCAGGAACGAUGUGGAAGGGAUAUAAAUAUCCCCCAGGAGGGACCCCCUUGGAAGUAAACAAAGAUGACCCUGGUGAAGUCAUGCAGCUGUGAAGAACACCCAACUGCCCAGUUCCUGUUGUAGGUUUCACAUAAAGUAAUCGCACAUUAUUUUGUCAGAUUCUGUGUAGUUACCAUGCGUCUUAAGAUGAACAAACACAAUAUUCUCCUAACAGAGACAGAGAGUGAGUUGGUAGAUGGGAGUGAGUGGGUGAUGGUCAGGCCCUAUUUGUCAAAGCCUCUAAGGCUGAGACACCUCGUUUAAAUUGUCCCCUCUUGGGUAAUCAUAAGUAAUGAUUUUUAGACCCACUUCCCAAAUACUAUAUCCCAAAUCCUGAGUCCAAAAGUAAAAAUUAUCCCACGGGGUUCAUUUAAAUACAAGGGGAGAUGCUAAGGUGGUAUUCAACCCUCACCCAGACCUGCUGAAGCUGGGUCUUGGCCUCACUUGAAGUGACCGAAGAGAAAUUAAGAGGCUCAGGUAUCUUGCCAGCACAGACCUGGACAUAGUAGGGAUGUAGAU